UGGAACAGUGAAGCUGUGUGUCCCUGCAGACAACAAUGAAAAAGGCAGAGAAACCUAGAGGUCUCAACCCUAUAGUCUGAUCCCUACUGCUGUGGGUGAAGCCCCAGGGAUCUGGAGCCUUUGCAGGGCCAUCGGGAGCAGCAACACCCAGAGGCUGCAGGAGGCAGCGGAGUUUGGGCACCCCAGGUCAGCCGAAGGACGGAGUUGGGGCUCUCCUCUCUCAAUGGCAGGGUUUGUCCAGGCGAUGAACAAGGAGGUGGGAAAGAGCAUCCUGGUGAGUCUGUUCAAGAGGAACUCGUGUCCUGGACCGUGUAUAUCUGUGUGGCUCCCCGGGAGGACCAACAGCCGCUGCAAUACGGCCAAAAGCCCCGGGAAAAAUCACGACGUCAAUUUGCUGAGUGAAAUGCAGGGCCUCUAACCCUGCAUCAUGGAGGGGCUGGCUGAGGCCCCCGCUGGGAGAUGCCCUGGGCUUUCACCCAGUGAGAUGCUUCUGGACCACGGCCGCGGGGGAAGCAGUUUCUCUCCGUUAUCCUCUCCCACUUUGGCCCAAGGCCAUCGCAGCAUUUCCCUCCCUGCUCUUGCAGAACCCGGUCCCGAGCAGUGGAUGCCAUGUCGUUUGAAAAGCUACUUAGUGCUUUUUAUUAUCUGGUCAUUAUUUUUCCACUGAAGCCUGAGAUAAGCAAAGCAUAAAUCAAACCAGAACAGGAGCCACUUGGCGCAGGGCAGCCUCCAUCCAUCACUCCAUCCCUCCAUGCCUCCGGAGCUGUUUGAUGUGCUACCCUCCGCUCUCCCAUCCCGCAUCCCCCCCAUCGGGCAGCUCUGACAAGGGAAAGCCCAGGAAUUUAUUCCGAUAAAGAAAAUGCAAUCAAAUAAAUAGAGGAGGAAAUAAAUAAGACUAUCAGGAAAGCUUCUGCUGCGCUGGUUGGAUCCCUGCCUCGCGAGGCUUCUGGAGAGCUGCUGACACUGGGAGCAUCUUCUGAAAUGGAUGGACUUUGCCUCUUGCCUCAUACAUCUGUUUAAUGACCUCUCCUUGCAGGCACUUGACAUGUGAUUUAUGGGAUAUAAAUUUUACCUCUUAGCUUCGGUGCUGCAAUCGCUACGUUCUGCAAGGUGAGAGCACCUCACUCCGCAGGGACGCCGUGCCGGCUCCCUCGCCCUCCUGCUCGCUGAACUUUCUUCCUAUGGCCCUUCCUUUAAAAAAAAAAAGAAACAAACCAAAAAAAGCCAACAACCAAAAAAACAACAGACAUUUAAAUAUGUGUUUUUUCCUCUUUAAAAGAAAACAGCUGAUUUCCUGCAAAUAAUAA